GUCUUGCUGCUGCCUCUUUUGCUGACUGUAAUUGGACUUUGAAGCUUCGAAGUUAUAUCAUAAAAAUUUGUAACCUUUGUCUGAGAGAGAGCUCAGCUAAGCAAUCACUUUCCACUUCUUUUCACAGGAUAAUAUAAACGUUUUCUUGAAAGCUUGUGAACAGAUUGGAUUGAAAGAAGCCCAGCUUUUCCAUCCUGGAGAUCUACAGGAUUUAUCAAAUCGAGUCACUGUCAAGCAAGAAGAGACUGACAGGAGAGUGAAAAAUGUUUUGAUAACAUUGUACUGGCUGGGAAGAAAAGCACAAAGCAACCCGUACUAUAAUGGUCCCCAUCUUAAUUUGAAAGCGUUUGAGAAUCUUUUAGGACAAGCACUGACGAAGGCACUCGAAGACUCCAGCUUCCUGAAAAGAAGUGGCAGGGACAGUGGCUACGGUGACAUCUGGUGUCCUGAACGUGGAGAAUUUCUUGCUCCUCCAAGGCACCAUAAGAGAGAAGAUUCCUUUGAAAGCUUGGACUCUUUGGGCUCGAGGUCAUUGACAAGCUGCUCCUCUGAUAUCACGUUGAGAGGGGGGCGUGAAGGUUUUGAAAGUGACACAGAUUCGGAAUUUACAUUUAAGAUGCAGGAUUAUAAUAAAGAUGAUAUGUCGUAUCGAAGGAUUUCGGCUGUUGAGCCAAAGACUGCGUUACCCUUCAAUCGUUUUUUACCCAACAAAAGUAGACAGCCAUCCUAUGUACCAGCACCUCUGAGAAAGAAAAAGCCAGACAAACAUGAGGAUAACAGAAGAAGUUGGGCAAGCCCGGUUUAUACAGAAGCAGAUGGAACAUUUUCAAGGAGUAAGUCCAUGAGUGAUGUCAGCGCAGAAGAUGUUCAAAACUUGCGUCAGCUGCGUUACGAGGAGAUGCAG
rnacentral:lncRNA from 1 species